rnacentral:rRNA from 1 species
UGGGGAAUAUUGGACAAUGGGCGAAAGCCUGAUCCAGCCAUGCCGCGUGAGUGAUGAAGGCCCUAGGGUUGUAAAGCUCUUUCAACGGUGAAGAUAAUGACGGUAACCGUAGAAGAAGCCCCGGCUAACUUCGUGCCAGCAGCCGCGGUAAUACGAAGGGGGCUAGCGUUGUUCGGAAUUACUGGGCGUAAAGCGCACGUAGGCGGAUUGUUAAGUUAGGGGUGAAAUCCCAGGGCUCAACCCUGGAACUGCCUUUAAUACUGGCAAUCUCGAGUCCGAGAGAGGUGAGUGGAAUUCCGAGUGUAGAGGUGAAAUUCGUAGAUAUUCGGAGGAACACCAGUGGCGAAGGCGGCUCACUGGCUCGGUACUGACGCUGAGGUGCGAAAGCGUGGGGAGCAAACA